rnacentral:lncRNA from 1 species
CAGCUUUGGAGCUUAGGAGCCUGUGAAGUUUAAGUUUGCCCUAACUUCAACCUUCAUAGGACUCAUGUUUGAUUCAAGACAGAUCUCUCUGCUAAUACGGCUCAUUUGACCUCAGGGUGCCCUUGUUGAAUUCACAAAUUGACAAAAUUCUUCUCUUCUCUUAACAGAGUUUGUAUGUAGCCAUUUGACACCAGUGAGCAAACAAAACAAGAACCAGAGGGUACCGGUUACACAUGAAAAGAGAUUAAGCCUAACUAAAAUGGACUGAGUUCUCACAGCAUGUUCAGCAGUGGUUCACAGUCUUUAUGUCCAAUCAUUGAAUCUUCACAACAGUCGCCUUAAAGAGAUUCUCUUUUAAUCCCUAUCUAACUGGGGAGAAAACCGAAGGACGGACAGAUUGAAUGAUUUGUAACCCAACUAGCUAAUGAGUCUGGCUUAUCAACAUAAUGUGCCCAGCAUCACCCACAUGGAGGCUUUAGUUAUAAUCCUCGUGCACUGGUUUGGACCCUGGAAUUCGUUUGAAGAGAUGUAGAUCAUCAGCUGAGUGCCAUGUGCCAACCGUGAGACCCAGACUGAUGUUGGACAUGUUUGUAGUUUUGGGGAAGUUCAGACCCUCACUACAUUUUUCUUCGUGCCAUCCUGAAACCAUCUGUCUGUUUUUCGUUUCAUGGCGUCUUCUACCUUCAGUGGCCAGCUCUUGCCAGGAAUGGAUUUUUCUGAAGUAUCAAGAGGUCACAAAUAACAAGAACAUCUGGAAAGGGCCAGAGAGAACACAUCAUGUCAUCCCUGUCAUCCUUGUCAAGGCUGUCUCUUGCGCGCGCCGGACUGGCCAGCAGUAACGACGCUGCAACAGGAUCCUUCUGCACACGUUUAUUGGGAGAGCUUGAUUGCAGAGGCGAAGAGACCCCGAGCCCAGAACUGGUGCUGCUUAUAUAGGCCUAGGAGAGGCGUGUCUCACACCCGGAUUGGUUAUGCACUACGCCUCAUUUGCAUGUUCCUCAUCUGAUUGGUUAUUCUCUCUCUCUGUACCUCACAGAGCCUCAUUAUCAUACCUCAUUUGCAUGUCUCACAUCUGAUUGGUUAUACUCUCAAAGCCUCAUUAUCAUGCCCGGGCCAGGCAGUGUCUUUGCAAAACACUUUACUGCAUAUGUACACAUUGGUUGUUUGUCCAAACUUAUGCGUGGUGGCCAGCAGUAGUCAGUGCCACUCUGCAACGGCACAUGUGGCUUCCCACAGCUGUCAUCCCUCAUGUGGUCCUCCUCCUUGGCUGGUACAGGCAUGAGAUCUUGAUGUUCAGGAUGGUGAGGGAGAACUGCUUUCUCCUGACCUCAAUCUUUCCAGACUCUUAUGUAAGGGUUUGGCUUCAAUGCAGAGUGAAAAGAUGGUUCUGUGCUGUUCUAGCUAGUGCAUAGUGUCUCUAAAUAAACAUGCUAAAUGAUCAGGUUUGCUGUGUCACUAGCAAUGGUUCAGAGUAAAACAAGUCAUCCUAUCUCAUCACACAGCCACCACCUUAUUUUUAUUGCUUUUUAAAAGAAUCUUUAUGUGUGUGUACAUGUGGGAGGUUAUGGAAGGUGUGUGGGCAAGAGUAUGCCCCAGAUAGCAUGUGAGGGUCAGAGGACAGCUUUGAGUAUCAGUCUUUGCCAUCUACUUUGCUUGAGACUGGUCCCUUACUAUUUGAGCUACGUGAGCUGGCCUGUGAGCUUCUGGGGAGUCUCCUGUCUCUGCUCAUUUCACUGUAGAAGUGCUGGGAUUGCAGACGGACACUAUGGUGUAUAGCUUUACUUAGGCUCUGGGGGAUCCAAACCCAGAUGUUCAUGCUUGUGUGGCGAGCACUUUAUCCACCUAGCAAUCUUCCUAGCCACACAACUUCCACACUACUAGUAGUAUCUGCCAAGCAACUGAGCCUGAAUCCUGGGCUAAUCAACAAGGCUUCAAACACCUAUGGCUACAGGGCUAUGCUUUAAGGUGUAGUUUUUGUUAGUAUUCUGAUAUACUGUGGGAAAUAACCCAGAGGGUGACUUCCAUUGGAAAUGAAACUUAUACUUCACAGAUCCUGAGAGGAGAAGGAGGGAACAGCCUAUGUGUGCUCCAGGGAAGAGUACAUGGCAGUUGGGAACCUGAAGAAGGAAGCAAUAGAAAACACAGGCCUGAGUCUUUUUUGGAAGAGUUUUCCUUCAGAAAGGAAUGGGUAAACGAGGCAAGCAGGCUUAGGGAUAGCUAAUUUGAACCUGCCAGAAGGUUCUAGCUUUAGUGAAUAUUGCCAGUUCAGAGAAGCACUAUCUCUCAGGGCAUGUACUUUCUCUCUUUCAAAGGGCCCAAGUUAAUCCUUUUUAAGAAAUCUUUCAAUGGAUCUAUGUGUCUAUGUAUCUAUCUAUCUGUCUGUCUAUCUUCUUUUUCUUCUUCAUUAUCACCAUCUAUUUACUUAUCCAUCAUUAUUUAUUAUGUCUCUCUAUUAUGUAUCUAUGUAUGUAUCUAUGUAUGUAUCUAUGUAUGUAUCUAUGUAUCUAUCUAUGUAUCUAUCUAUCUAUGUAUCUAUCUAUCUAUCUAUCUAUCUAUCUAUCUAUCUAUCUAUCUAUCUAUCUAUCUAUGUGUCUAUGUAUCUAUCAUCUAACUUCUUCCUCUUCUUCCUCUUCCUCCUCUUCUUCCUUUUCCUCUUCUCCCUCCUCCUCCUCCUUCUUCUCCCUCCUUCUCCUCUUCCUCCUCUUUCUCUUCUUCUUCUUUUUCCUCUUCUUCCUCUUCCUCUUCUUCUUCCCCUCCUCCUCCUCCUUCUCCUCCUCCUCCUCCUUCUCCUUUUUCUUCUUCAAUUUAUUUAACUGUCUUCAUCUAUCAUGUAUGUAUACACACACACACACGCACACGCACAUGCACACGCAGGCAUGUCUUGGGGAUUGAACUCAGCUCAUCAUGUUGGGCAGCGAGCAUCUUCACCUUCACCUGCCGAGCCCCCUCGUGGGCUCCCACCUUGGUUAACUAGAACUGACUUCUUUCUUCAUAGCUCAUUCCUUCUUCCACAGCUGCUCUUUCACCAGACCUACUCAGGUCAUGGUAUCUGGUCAGUAACACAACCUCCUACAGGUGAUGGGUAGACUUUUAUCUUAUCAUAAUAUCAUUAAAAACAGAAGCCCCAAUUCCAGAGCAAAGAGCCUGCUGUAGCAGGCAUACUUCACCGGAAGCUUCUGCCUCCUGCUGUGUUCGUAACAUUUCUCCCUUUCCUUCCUGUGCUACAAGGCCCCCCCUUGCCCUGCCCUGCCCUACCCGCCCCAUUGUCGUUAUUUUUCCCAUGGUCUUCCACAUUCAUCUAGAUUUAUUUGCUUUCCCCUUUUAUUUUUACCUGUUAACCUCUACAUCUUCUCCUCUCCAAUACAGCUGCUUACUCAGUGUAGAUCUACCUGCCUGUAACUCUCAAAAACAAAACAAAACAAAACAAAACAAAACUAAACAAAACAAAACAAACCCAACCCUUGAGUUCUUUUGUAGCGUCCAGAAGCAAAAGCCAAAGGCACUGUCUAUGGUCUUGGCAACUUGGGUUCAGGUAACCAAGGCAAUUGCUACAGAUGCUUUAGUCUGUAAAUGUCAGGUAAAAAUCCAUUCUGAUAGCAUCCGAGUGUUGGAAGGGAGAGACAUCUUCACUCCUGUACGACACUGGAAACGCCUCAGGGUUCUGGAUGGCCACUCCGACCUCCCUAGACCGAUCAUGCCUAAGACUGUCGUAGGCAUAAGAAUCCACACUUGGAUUUCUUUGUUGCUUUCUGGAGAAUCUACUCCAAUUAUUCUCAAACCCUUCCCGUCCUGGAUGGCACACAGAGCAGCGCCUUGGGCGGUAGAGGGAGAGUGCUCAGGUAACAUAAUGCCUGAAGAAAAGGGUGUGUGCGCUCGCACUCAAAGCGCAGAUCUCACAGUCACUCUCCAGCUCUGAGAUACAGUGCAUACCCUUUUGUGUGAAAGAUUUCAAUUUUGGAAUCUCUUGGAAUUCAUUCAGUACACUGAGGGGUCAUGGAGGAGGGAAGGGCGUGGUGAACUGGAUGGGGUGGAGUGGGGGUGGUCCUGUCUGAAAAUAGAAGCAGCUUAAUAGCCAGUUUGUUUCUAAAGCUGCCACAACAAAUUACUAGUAACUUAGCCACUUAAUACAAGUUAUCACAUUGUAUUUCUGUAGAUCAGAAGUCCAAAAUUAGGGCCUUUGGCAUGAAGGCAAGGGAUUUCAGAUGGGUUCCUUCUGGAGACCUGGGGAAAAUGGGUUCCAUGUUCCUUCUGCCUUCUAGAGGUUAGCCUGCAUUCUGUAGCUCAUGCCAGCUUCUUCCUUCAAGGCCACUAACACUGUGGCUCUCUGUCUGUCUCUUUGUUGUCAUCCUGCUCUCUUUUCCAGAUUAUGGCAGGAAAAAAAAUCCUAUGGUUAUAAGAUUGCACAUUGAUUAAAUCAGAUAUAUGUAUAUAAUUAAGGAUAAUCUCUCAUUUCAGCCAACUCCUGAACUUUUAGUUUUACUGCUUAAAGUGCGUGCCUGUGCAUAUACGCAUUCAUAUAUGUGAACAUUUAUGGGUUGCAUGGUGUCAGGGUUGGGGGUUGGGGAUUGAGAUAUACCCAGAGGUCAACUUCAGCUGUUUCUCAGUCAAGACCCAUCCUGUGUUUUGAGACCGGAUCUCUCACAGUCUAGGGAUCACCAAUGCACCUAGGCUAGCUGGCCAGCAAGCCUCAGCCAUCCACUUGCCUCUACCUUUUCAAUACUGAGAUUACACACGUGUGCCACCACCCCUAGCAUUUUAACGUGGCCCUGAGAUUGAACUCUGAUCCUCGUGCUUUGGGCAGUAAGCAUUUUACUGACCAAGUUAUUGCCAUGUAAGGGAAUAUGUUCUUGGAUCGUGGAGGAGACUGGCAAUUACUGGAUCCCACCCCAGCCACACAGCUGAUAUUGUAACUGAAGCACAAGGUUUUUAAAUUAGACCUGACUUUUCCAUCUCCUUAGGAGCUAAUAACUCCCCAUAGAUUUUUCUUUUAAAGCUGUCUGAUUGAUUGGAUAUCAAAUCAGUUUAUAGGCAAGCAAUAAUAAUACUAGCAACGUCUUAAUUUUUGUUAUUCAAAUUAUAAGGUUAAUUUGCUAUACAUAAGCUUGGUGUCAUUUUCUCUAUGCCUCUUCUUCAAACAUACAUGGGUUUCCUCUAUCUUAGGAGAGUGGGGCUUAGCUCAGUGAUAGAGCGCUUAUGCAUGAAGCACGAUAGCCUGGCUUUGGUCCUCAACAUUGAAGAAAACAAACAAACAAUCAACAUGACAGAAAAAUCCACAAAAUGGCCUUUACUUUUUCUGUCCUUUGCACCUGGACAAGGCUUCCUCUGCCUUCAUUGCUGGAGUUCCAACACAUGCUACCUAUAUUUUUUUCCUCACGUUUUAUUUACCCCUCAGAAUCCAAAGGCUUAAUGUCUGUUUUAGUCUCUUUUCCACUGGCUGCUGAGCGAGCUCCCCUGUAAUUCUUUCAGUUCACCAUGAAGUCCCACACCUGGAGUUCCCGUGGCUCUCCUGACUCCUCACAUCUAAUUUCUUGUUCUUCCACCACCUCUGUCUCUCGUGGGCACCACCCAGUGAACAUUUCUGCAUAGACAUCAUUCUGUCCUCUAAGUCUCGAUGGCCAGGGCCUCAGUCUUGUAAGCUGUUCUCCUGCUUGGCUUGUUUGCCUACCCAUCUACAUAACUCUAUCUUUUCAUUAAGAGAGCUCUGUCAUUGCUUUAGCUAUCUUGGCCUAAGCAUCGGAUCUUCAGUGUCCACCUGACUCCUUUCCCCUUUGAUUUACCCAGUGUCACAAUGUCACAAUGCCUGUGUCAUCUCUUCUUUUGCAUCUGUGCUGUCCUUAUGAGUCCUCUUACUCAUGCCCAAAUGACUCUGGGUGCACUGUUAUCAUUUUCGUUGUCACCAAGGCUACAGUAAUCACCUUCUUUCUUUUUUUUCCGUAGAUGGUGCUGCAGCUCUUUCCCCCAUUGCUUAAUAUCUUGAUGGCAUUUUAAAGACCAUGGGUUCUGAAUCAACCUGUUGCCGUUUUAUCCAAGAUUCUUCACCAAAAGUCCUCUAUCCUUGCUGGACCGUGGUGCCCACUGACCAUGAAUGAAAUUCUUCUCCCUCGCCACCAACGUGCUCCCAUUCACCUGGGACCCAGCAGCAUGUCUACAGCCACCUCUGUUCAUGACUUCCCCAUCCUCUUGACACAUUACCAUCACCUGAGAAAUACCGAGCAGCAAAGAACUUCUGCAAUGCCAACCAAACUAUCACAGUUGUUCAUAUCCCUGCUUCUCCUGCUGUGUCCGCAGCUCUUUUUGACCAUUCCUACAGGCCAAGAACCUGGAAACACCUGGCCCAGAUCCUGACUGCUAUCAACACACCAACUUUGUCCAGCUUGAAAACAAAGCAGAACAAAACAAGACAAAGGCAAAGACAAAAAAACAAAACAAAACAAAAAAAUCCCCCAAAGACCAAAACCAAAACAAAAAACCCACCAAAACCUCUGUUCCUUUUGUGUUUUAUUUUCCUCAUUAGUCAUUCCUGUUAGUGAGCACACACACGCCACGCCUCAUCAAAACAUACUGUACCUUAUUUCCAUGUCACUCCCUCCCCACUUAUUCUUCUUCUGAACAAAAACACUCUAUUCACAUUUUCUCCCUCCUCCUAGUCUUCCUCAGGUCUACUCCAGGCAAGCUCACACCCCACUACCAAGGAAACCCUUACAGUGAAGCUUCCAGCGACAUCUGCACUGCCAAGGCCCACUCUGAAGUCCCAGCUCUUGUCUUGGUCAACGAGUCGCAGUCACUGACUUCGGGGGCUGAUGAAUCCCUUCUGUCCUGAAACACUUGCUUCUCUUGGCUCGCUCUUGGGACUCUGAACUCUUGCAUCUCUCUGGCCAUGUCCUUUUGCCUCCUUGUGCUUCCCUAGACUCCAAUAGAUGGUGAUUUUCCAUGUCUCAGUCCUUGACCUUUCCUGUCAAGGCUUACUCUCUGGCUGACAUCAUGCAGUCUCAUGGUUGAAGCCUCAUCUAUAUUUGGAUUCUCUUGGUUCCGAGUUUCUAUCUUUAGCCUGAACUUCUUCCUUUAACUCUCUGCUUGCACAUCCCAUGGCUUCCUUACUGUCGGUAUCUCGCAGCUAGUAGAACUCAUAGUGCACUCUGUCUGAGCUCCUGACGUGGUCCACACUUCCACUCGCCUCCAGCAGCCUGUGCUUUGUCUGCUGACUCUAUUGUCACCCUUCCUUUUUGUUGUCACAUUGGAAAUUCUUUUGGUUUCACUUUCAAGACCUCCCCAGAAACCACACGCUUGUCGCCAUCUGACAGGCUACCUCUAUCCUGGUCUAAAACCUGUCAAUUGCCUAUGAACUAAACAAACAGCCUGCACAAGUACAGACCCUGAAGUCCCACCAUGCAGACUGGACGCAGUGGCUCUGCCAGUAAAGAAUGACCUGAGCAAGGUGCUCAACUCUGCUUCUCCAGGUUCCUCACUGGGAAGACUGGGAUCCUAACAACAAUGCUGCUACUAUGACUAGAAGUUGUGGAAAGUAUUAAAGAAAAAAAAAAAACACCCCACAUAUAAAAUAUUGCCAGCCCCUACCAAAUAGCAUAUGACCAAUAAAUGCUAAGUAUUAUCUAUAAAGCUAUAAAAACUCCAUGACAGCGGAUGAAAGGUGGUCAGCAAAAUCAGAGAAGUUAUGGGAAUAACUAUUCUGCUGAGCAUAAGCCAAGACGAUCUUUCCAUAUCCAAACCUAAGACAGGUGUGGUGGUGUGUGCCAACAAUCUCAGUGCUUUGGAGGCAGAGGCAAGAGGAUCAAGAUUUCAAGGCGAUCUUCAGACAAUAGUGAGCCCAAGGGAAGCCUGGGCUGCAUUAGGUGCUAUGUCAAAAAUUCAAACAUGAAUAAAUAAAUAAAAAUUAAUUAAUUAAUACCCAGGCCCAUGUUGAAUCAGGAUAGAGCAUGUUUGCAUCAACUACUCUGACCUGUGCCUGUCUCUCGGUCCAUUGCACCUUGGAGCAGCUUUUAUCUGUCUUACAGUUUUACAGACAGACAACCCACUGCUAAGAUGCCUCGAUCUGGUAGUACUUGGUAUUAUCAUGUCGCUGUCCUCAGCUUUAAGAACAAUUUCUUCUCCAAAUCCCCUUCCAGAUCCCAGGAAUCACAGAUGGCCUUAAUCUCAAUCUUGGCUCUAUUCUUGGUCAAUCCCCCAAUCACUCUUAAGGAUUCCAUAUCUGGGUUACUGUUGCUGCUACCAAUGACCACAUUUAAAAGUGAGCCCAGCUCGGCAUCAGGUCCUCUGCCUAUAUACUGGAGCUUCCAGGUUAAGUGUUUUAUGGGUGCUUGAGUGUGCAAACAAGAGGGUCUCUGACUCUUCUGCUUCUUGUGCUUUUUUCCUUCUGUUGGUUUGUCUUGCCCAACUUUAAUGUAUCUUAUUAUAUUCGUUUUAUCUUAUUAUAUUUUAUUUUGUUAUAUUAAGAAGUGAAUGAAUGAAUGAAUGAAUGAAUGAAUGAAUAAAUGAAAACUUAGCAUAAAGGUUAACAACUGAACUGUCACUUAUACCUGCUGGGGACAGGAGAGGGAAAAAUCAGUUUUCUCCGACAAAAUAACACUGGGUGUAUCAACCAUUCCAGAACAGGCCUCACGUUCCAUGUCGGCUGACCAGCACAUAACUGGACUCCACAAUUAUUAUUUUUUUGUGUGUAUUUUCUUUGGCUAUGCUUUGGCAGAUCCUUUUUUUUUUUCUCUUUUGUGGUAUGGUUUUUACCUUGUUUUCUUGGUUUUGAGGGGCUCUGCUGUGUUGAGUUUUUGUUUGUUUUUUGAACAGGAACUUUAAAGUUGGGUGGGUAAGGAAGGG